UACGUAGGGUGCGAGCGUUAAUCGGAAUACUGGGCGUAAAGCGUGCGCAGGCGGUUAUGUAAGACAGAUGUGAAAUCCCCGGGCUCCAACCUGGGAAACUGGCAUUUGUGACUGCAUGGCUAGAGUACGGUAGAGGGGGGAUGGAAUUCCGGCGUGUAGCAGUGAAAUGCGUAGAUAUGCGGAGGAACACCGAUGGCGGAAGGACAA
rnacentral:rRNA from 1 species